UAACAUAUUUUCAUAACAGCAGCUGUUUGAACAGGCAGGGCGCUUCCGGAACAACAACAUUAACAUUCAGGUUCACAACCUGUAAACGACGCUUGUGUUUGAAGGCAAAUUUCUGGGAACGAAACAGAUACAGUAGAAACUGUACGUUCUGUACACCAUGGUAUGACUUGUGAUAAAAGCCGGCUCCUAUGUGGUGCGCAAGAUCCGUGCUGCGCUGACAGACAGGGAGCAAACAGAACAACCUGUUCGCACAUCAUGUAGUCUGGCUAAAGGUAAAAAGGAGCGCUAUGCAUCAGACGCGGCAUUAAUGAACGCCCCAGAGCCUCAGGGUGCUGCUGGAUCAUCUGCAUCUACAGAGAGAGCUGUAAAGCAAUGUGGUUCCUGAGGUUAAAGGUCACGCAGAAGCAAAUCUGGGCUGAAAAAAACAGCAUUGCUGGACACCAGCAUUUGUCGCUGGUGUGCUGGCGUUUCAACAAGGCCAUCCAAACUGGGCUUUUAAGUAAAGAUUUUAGCAGAAGGCUCAGUCCAGUUUUGCUCUGCGUGACCUGUUGUUCUUAGAUGCCAACACUUGCUCCUCCUCUCUCUUUCUUUGUCUCUUUCUCUUGUUCUGAUUCCUGUCAGCUGUAGUUUGUGAAGGUCUGUUCAUUAACCUCUACCUCAGGGGCGGUUCAGAUCUGAUGUUUACCUACAGCUUUUUUAUUUAUACUCAGCAACUAACUGACUAUACAUUGACUAAAGACAUAUUGCUGUCAGUAACAAUAAAAGCUGACACUAUUUAUAAGAUUUUACCAUUUUUGUAACUUUAAAAACAAAAAAUAAAACGGUCCAAUCUUU